AUGUAAGAAAUUCACUCUUUCAGUGGUAAUAAAUAACCAUAAAGAAAAUGAUCUUAGAUAGUUUUUCUUUCAAGUCAACCACCUUGU
rnacentral:pre_miRNA from 1 species